GCCUGGGUGGCUCAGUCGGUUGAGCAUCUGACUUCGGCUCAGGUCAUGAUCUUACAAUUUGUGAGUUUGAGCCCCGCGUCAGGCU
rnacentral:tRNA from 1 species